rnacentral:rRNA from 1 species
UACGAAGGGGGCUAGCGUUGCUCGGAAUCACCGGGCGUAAAGCGCACGUAGGCGGCUUGGUAAGUUAGAGGUGAAAGCCUGGAGCUCAACUCCAGAAUUGCCUUUAAGACUGCCGAGCUAGCAGGUGAGAGAGGUGAGUGGAAUUCCGAGUGUAGAGGUGAAAUUCGUAGAUAUUCGGAAGAACACCAGUGGCGAAGGCGGCUCACUGGCUCAUACUGGACGCUGAGGUGCGAAAGCGUGGGGAGCAAACAGG